rnacentral:rRNA from 1 species
GGAAUAUUGGACAAUGUGCGAAAGCCUGAUCCAGCAAUGCCGCGUGAGUGAUGAAUGCCGUAGGGCUGUAAAGCUCUUUUACCCGGGAUGAUAAUGACAGUACCGGGAGAAUAAGCCCCGGCUAACUCCGUGCCAGCAGCCGCGGUAAUACGGGGGGGGCAAGCGUUGUUCGGAAUUACUGGGCGUAAAGGGUUCGUAGGUGGCCAACUAAGUCAGACGUGAAAUCCCUCAGCUUAACUGAGGAACUGCGUCUGAUACUGGUUGGCUUGAGUGCAGGAGAGGAACGCGGAAUUCCAGGUGUAGCGGUGAAAUGCGUAGAUAUCUGGAGGAACACCGGUGGCGAAGGCGGCGUUCUGGACUGUAACUGACACUGAGGAACGAAAGCCAGGGGAGCAAAC